rnacentral:rRNA from 1 species
GACGAACGCUGGCGGCGUGCUUAACACAUGCAAGUCGAACGCUGAAGCUCAGCUUUUGUUGGGUGGAUGAGUGGCGAACGGGUGAGUAACACGUGAGUAACCUGCCCCCUUCUUUGGGAUAACGCCCGGAAACGGGUGCUAAUACUGGAUAUUCACUGGUCUUCGCAUGGGGGUUGGUGGAAAGGGUUUUUCUGGUGGGGGACGGGCUCGCGGCCUAUCAGCUUGUUGGUGGGGUGAUGGCCUACCAAGGCUUUGACGGGUAGCCGGCCUGAGAGGGUGACCGGUCACAUUGGGACUGAGAUACGGCCCAGACUCCUACGGGAGGCAGCAGUGGGGAAUAUUGCACAAUGGGCGCAAGCCUGAUGCAGCGACGCCGCGUGAGGGAUGGAGGCCUUCGGGUUGUGAACCUCUUUCGCUCAUGGUCAAGCCGCAACAAUGGUUGUGGUGAGGGUAGUGGGUAAAGAAGCGCCGGCUAACUACGUG